rnacentral:rRNA from 1 species
AGAGUUUGAUCCUGGCUCAGAACUAACGCUGGCGGCGUGCCUAACACAUGCAAGUCGAGCGGUCGCCAUUUUGUAGCAAUACAGAAGAAGCGAUAGCGGCAGACGGGUGAGUAACACGUAACCAAUCUACCUACCGUCCGGGAUAACUGACCGAAAGGUUAGCUAAUACCAGAUUCGAUCACCGAGCGGCAUCGUUUGGU